GAUAGGGGAAGGUUUGGUUAAGGGACUGUUGGAUAGGGGAAGGUUUGGUUAAGGGACUGUUGGAUAGGGGAAGGUUUGGUUAAGGGACUGAUGGAUAGGGGAAGGUUUGGUUAAGGGACUGAUGGAUAGGGGAAGGUUUGGUUAAGGGACUGUUGGAUAGGGGAAGGUUUGGUUAAGGGACUGAUGGAUAGGGGAAGGUUUGGUUAAGGGACUGGUGGAUAGGGGAAGGUUUGGUUAAGGGACUGUUGGAUAGGGGAAGGUUUGGU